rnacentral:rRNA from 1 species
GAUGAACGCUAGCGAUAGGCUUAACACAUGCAAGUCGAGGGGCAGCACAAGGUAGCUUGCUAUCUGGGUGGCGACCGGCGCACGGGUGCGUAACGCGUAUGCAACUUGCCCUAUACAGGAGGAUAACCCGUCGAAAGACGGACUAAUACUGCGUAUGCUCACAACUUGGCAUCAAGUGGUGAGGAAAGAAAUUCGGUAUAGGAUAGGCAUGCGUCCCAUUAGCUUGUUGGUGAGGUAACGGCUCACCAAGGCAACGAUGGGUAGGGGAACUGAGAGGUUUAUCCCCCACACUGGUACUGAGACACGGACCAGACUCCUACGGGAGGCAGCAGUGAGGAAUAUUGAUCAAUGGGCGCGAGCCUGAACCAGCCAAGUCGCGUGAAGGAUGUCUGUCUUAUGGAUUGUAAACUUCUUUUAUACGGGAAUAACAAGGGUCACGUGUGACUCCCUGCAUGUACCGUAUGAAUAAGCAUCGGCUAACUCCGUG